rnacentral:tRNA from 1 species
GAGGCGGACAGGUCGGUGCCCUCCCCGGCCUCCAGUGCCGCGAUCAGACGUUCGAUCGCCGCCGCCUCG